rnacentral:rRNA from 1 species
UACGAACCGUGCGAACGUUAUUCGGAAUCACUGGGCUUAAAGCGCGUGUAGGCGGAUGGGGACGUCGGUCGCUGAAAUCCCCCGGCUCAACCGGGGAACGGGCGCCGAAACGCCCCGUCUGGAGGGACGUAGGGGGACCUGGAACUUCCGGUGGAGCGGUGAAAUGCGUUGAGAUCGGAAGGAACGCCCGUGGCGAAAGCGAGCCCCUGGACGUCUACUGACGCUGAGACGCGAAAGCCAGGGGAGCGAACGGG